CCCCUCUCUCUCUCUCUCUCUCUCAUUGCCAUUUCUCUGUCUAAUUCAUUUUCUUGUUCUCCUUUGAAACAAAUUUUGACUGAACAAACCAAAAGAAUCCCCUUUCAAGUAAGGUUGCCUCCAUCUCUUUCGCAGUUUUCACAUCGAAGUUCCAUUUUUGGUGUGUUUUUCUUCUUAGAAUUUGAUCGGAUUUCGUCUGAUACAUGUUUGACAGCAUAUAUUAUGAGGUUUCUUUUCCCUUGAUUGCUUUGAUGAUUUGAGUAAUUUGAGUGAAUUGGGGCUUCCAUGGGUCACCUUUGAAAUGAUCUGUUGUUCAAAAUUUUCCUCUUCAGGCAGUAGUACUCCAGGAGAUUUCAUUGCAGGUAGAACAAUAUUGAAAGAAUUAUGCGGGUGACAUCUCCGAUUUGGGAAGAAGAAACUGGGGAAACUGCUAGUGAAGACUCCGAUGACAGGGUCACUACUAAGAAGAGUAGCAUGGGCAAGAAGAUGGCACAUGUUAAGGCUAUAGCUUCAGUGGGACUCUACAAGGCCAAGGUGGUUGCAGUUGGGGGAGCCCGCAAGUUCAAGACAGGUAUCUCUACUGGAAUCAAGUGGAUCAAGAAUCAAUACAGAAAAAAAUUCUCUUCCGAAUCCAAAUGAAUCGGCACAUUUCACAUUCUGUAGACUUGUUAUUGAAUUUCAAUAACCACAAGCAUUAUUUUUUCUUUCUUCACCA